UACGUAGGGUGCAAGCGUUGUCCGGAAUUAUUGGGCGUAAAGAGCUCGUAGGCGGUUCGUCGCGUCGGCUGUGAAAUCCCGAGGCUCAACCUCGGGUCUGCAGUCGAUACGGGCGGACUGGAGUUCGGCAGGGGAGGACUGGAAUUCCUGGUGUAGCGGUGGAAAUGCGCAGAUAUCAGGAGGAACACCGGUGGCGAAGGCGGGUCUCUCGGGCAGUAACUGACGCUGAGGAGCGAAAGCGUGGGGAGCGAACAGG
rnacentral:rRNA from 1 species